rnacentral:misc_RNA from 1 species
UAACUGCGAUAACUAGUGUGAACUGCAGAAACCUUGAACACUAAAGCUUCGAAUGCACAUUGCGCCAUUGGAUUUACGUCCUUUGGCACGCCUGGUUCAGGGUCGUUACCCUAAUACACAAGAUAAUUUGUGUGUGUCGAAAUCGCGAGUCCACAUCAGAGAGUGUGUUCUUGUCAGAUAAUUUUUGUUUGAGAGUCCGUUUGUUCAUUCAGUAGUGCGGAUGUUAGAUCAGUAGAAGUUGUUUAUUCAACCGAUCUUCAUCAUGAAGGCAGAGAUGGCUGCCUGCGCUCCGCUGUUUUGUUCAAAUGGCUCGUUAUCUCUCACCAGUGGAAUGUGCUGGCUGUUAGGUGGCAUUCUCUUCAAUAUUUCGACCUGAACUCAGACGUGAAUACCCGCUGAA